rnacentral:lncRNA from 1 species
CAAGUGGCCCCUUGUUCACAUUCCUGUGGCUCCAGAGGAGGACUGGCCUGGCCUGAAGUCAUCUAUCAUGGCUGGUCAGGCUGGAGGGGCUGUUGGAAUCAGCUUGUCCCACCUUCUCCUUUUCACAGACCCAGAAAUGGAGGUGCAGACAGGGACAGGGCUCUGCUCAAAUACACAGGAGCUCAAAGGAGGGGCAGGACAGCUACCAUGGAAGAGCCUUAUGACAUGCAAAGAGUUUGGCUUCCAUCCAAUACUCAGUCCAGUCCCACAAGGCCUGCUUCAUCCAGAGAAAAUGUGGGGCAAGAGAGAACACUGAUGUUCCAGCAGGCCAACCCAGGGAGCACCUCUGUUAUGAACACCCUUGGUCUACAUGAGCUCUUCAGACAUCUUGACUCCAGCACAUAAGCUUUGACAUGAGCUGUCUCAAAUCCCAAACAUGCAUUCAACCCAGGGUGUCCAGGCCCCUCUGGGCUCCUCCAGUGUCUGAACCCCACAUCCCAAGCUCAUCUAAUUAUACCCUUGGAGGAGCGCUUCACUGGUCUUGCAGAUCACUUGUCAUCCAUCAUAGCCUCGGGACAAAUCACAGUCGGAUAUGAAUUAUGAGUUGUUCUUCCCCAGGAUGGGCUGUUCUCCUACUUCAAAACACGUGUAUUAAUGGAAAAGACCCUGUUGGAAGUUGAUUCCAGUAGCUUAAAAGCAGCAAGAAAUGGACAUUUGUAUAUAACUCAAGAGAGAACCUUUGCUGGAAUUUUCCACCAGGGCUGGCAGUGGGACUCAGUGGGGCAGAGAGUAAAGGCUCAGAGUCAGCCUGGGAAGAGUUCCUGGAUGAGACAUCUCAGAACACAGUAUCUCUGGUAUGGGAGGAACACAAGCCUUGGGGCGAGACAUCUCUGGCUUCUACUUCAUGUGACAAUGCUGUGUGACAUUGGGCAAGUCAACCCACCUCUCAUCUGUAAAAUGGGUCUAAUCACAGUACCUUUCUCAGGAAUGUUGUGAGCUUUCGUCACAUAACGCACUAAGGCACCAUGCCUGGCACCCAUGAGGCAUCAGUAACUGGUCCCUCCCCUGCCCUCCCUCCCCUGCCCUUGAACCCUUUGUGAUAAGGGGAGCCCAGAGCCCUUAAAUCAUUAAAAGGAGUCCUGCAGGAACGUGCUACUCUUCUGGGAGCUGAGGUUGUUAUGUGUCUAUACAAGAGUGUGAGAUGAAGCUUCCACACCUUGUUCUGGAGAUCUGAGGCCAGGAAGUGGGCAAGGUUUGGAAGCUUGAUUUUGCAAUGAGCUCCUCCAUUUCUUAACUAUUUUUUCACCCAGCCUGGGAAAGCUUGGGCUUGUAAAAUGCACUUAUUAGUCGAAAUGAUCUAAAUCUAAUCUAAUUCUCCCAAGGAAACGAUGUAAUGAUGUUCCUCACUAAAGACCUGAUGCUCAACAUUUUAUAAAAUGACCACAAACAUCUUUGUUAAUCACCUUUAAACGGCAUACCUGUGCUUUGGGCAGCAGCAAGCUUUCAGAAGUGCUUCUAAAUCAAUUGAACAGGGCGACGUUAGUAAGCACUCACAUAAAAUACUGUUUAAUAUGAAACAGAGUACAAAAAGGUCCUCAUCAAAGUUCUUGUUAAUUUUCGCCUCAUUUUCUCUGCAGUGACUAAUAACACCUAACAUUUAUUGCGUGCUCACCAUGUGCCAGGCACUGCUCCAAGCUCUUUACAGACAUCAUGUCAUUAAGCCCAGCCCAACCACACAAUGAAGACUGGGGCCCAGAGAGGUAAAGGGUCCUUCCUAUAGUCACACAGGUAGGAAGUGACAGAGCCAGGCUUUGAACUCAGAUGAUAACAGUAUAGAAUAUAUCAGAAGGGUCAUCUUUCAGAAAGACUUCUCUGGCCAGAUUUGGCAGAUGACUUGAGGGGAUAUUUGGGGACAAGGGCUCCCUAGCUGGUUGGCUUUGAAAAAU